rnacentral:piRNA from 1 species
UCCAAACCUAGAAUCUGAUGGGCUUCCCAA